UUUCUACUCCCCCUGUUUCGAAUUACUUGUCGCAGGUAUGGAUGUAUCUAGAUGUAUUUUAGUUCUAGAUACAUCCAUUUCUGCGACGAGUAAUUUCAAACGAAGGAAAUAAGUU
rfam:Triticum urartu cultivar G1812 contig70380, whole genome shotgun sequence.